rnacentral:rRNA from 1 species
CAGCGCCGCGAGUGGCAAUCGUAUAUUUGGCCUAAAGCGUCCGUAGCCGGACUCGCAAAUUUUCUGUGAAAUUGUACAGCUCAACUGUACAGCGUGCAGGAAACACUACGAGUCUUGGAACCGGGAGGGGUACAGAGUAUUCCAGGGGAAGCGGUAAAAUGCUAUAAUCCCUGGAGGACUACCUAUGGCGAAGGCACUGUACCAGAACGGAUUCGACGGUGAGGGACGAAAGCCAGGGGAGCGAUCCGGAUUAGAGACCCGAGUAGUCC